AUUCAGCUGACGAGUCCCAAAUAGAACGAAACCCGCAUCAUGGAC
rnacentral:hammerhead_ribozyme from 1 species